rfam:Bacteroides stercoris CC31F genomic scaffold acTTc-supercont1.4, whole genome shotgun sequence.
UAUAUUUGUCACCGCUUAGGUGAUACACUCCGUUGUUCCAACGAGUUGUAUAAAAGGGAAUCCGGUGCGAAACCGGAACAGUGCCCGCUACUGUAAAGCCACUUUGCUCCGCCUGCUUGUUGCAGCAACGGAGCAUACGGAAAACAUUCUUCAAAACAAUACCACUGUCUUACAGACGGCUGUUGGUGAGAGCAAACAUCAGUUUGAGCCAUCGCAGACCGGGGACGGGAAGGUGUCGUUUUCCGUAGGGCUGAGUCAGGAAACCUGCCUGGGCAAUUACACAGUC